CAUUUCUGUCACAUUUGUCCUCUUUCACCAUCAAAGUAGAUAUAUUGCCAAUAAACUCAAGGGUUGUUGAGCUUUUUAGAUAGAUCAAUACUUUAUUGUUUACAAGAGCAGGAGCUCUUACUCUAGAUCCAAUUUAUUCAUUACAAAGUAUUACACAAUAUUAUAACCCAUUUAAUACGAUGUUAAUCAUAUACUGCAAUUAGGACUGAUUCUAAUAUAACAGCAUGAAAAUAAGUUGAUGCACUUACAAUAAGUUGUUUGGACUGCAACAUUCCCGAUAUUACAGAUCACAAUUUUUGGCAUUGUGACGUGAAAACACCUUUCUGUGCCCUUGUUUGGGAUUUCCACAUGAGGUACAGUAAUAGUAACAUCAGGUAAGGCAUAAAGAUACAGUGUAGUUUCAAUUUGUGUAAGCCCAACAGGUGUGGUAUCCCAGAAACAGCAUCUCUUUGGUAUAAAAGUACCAUGGACUUGCAAUGAAGGGCAUCACAAAACCCUCAUCUAAAUCAGGGUACGAGAACAAGACGCUGCAUCUUACUGUUGAGAAAGGACAUCUACUCUGAGGGAUCAUGUGUUGGAUAAGAGUUGCUGUCAUCUGUGUUCUGAUAAGCCUGGUGAAGGCUCAGAAAGAGUGCUUUAAACAUGUUGUAUGGAGCGAUCUACUGCACAGCUUAAACAUCUUGUGCAAAGACAUCUCCCAUGAGUGUGGGCAUCACCACGAUAAGGCCAGUCUCUGUGAUCCUCAACUGAUGCUCAGUCAGGUGGAACACAAAGAAGUAGUUCUGGCUGACAUCAUGAAGAAGGCUGUGACCAUGUAUCAGACAAGCCCUCACUCUCACAACUUCAGGGAACAAUUGGCCAUGUCGCAACAUAGGCUAACAUCUUGUGCAGUGGCACAACUCCAUUCAAACGCUGUCUAUGAGCCAGUGACUACAUGCUUUAACAAACUGGAGAAUUUCCUCCAUCACAAAAAGGCUCAUCUACAGUGUGCUUGGGGGAUUAUCCACAUCACAGUCAGAGAAAUCCUUCAGAGAUUUGAGAAACGCACCGUCAGAGGACUACAACAAAGAAGAUGAUUGAAUCAUUUUGUUCAUUACAGCAACAUUGAAAAAAAAUUGCUUUGUAUUUUAAUGAAUUUGUAUUGUUUUAUUGGGGGAAAUACAUGUGUUAGGGCCUGUUUAUGAAAUAAAAAUACGUGGAUUUAAAUGUUGGAGGUUGGCAAUCGUUCAUUGUAGUGUGUUAUGAAACUGUACCUUUUAUGUUCUUUAAUAUCCUUGUUAGUUUGUGCAUUGGGCCACCAGAUGGCGACAAUUCAUAUUGAACAAACAUCCCACUAGAGGGUGCAAAUAUCUUGCCAAAUUUAUCACAUAUAUUUUAUUAUAGUGGCAUGAAUGUUGUCUUACUUUAUAAA
rnacentral:lncRNA from 8 species